UGGGGAAUAUUGCACAAUGGGCGAAAGCCUGAUGCAGCAACGCCGCGUGAGUGAUGAAGGUCUUCGGAUUGUAAAGCUCUGUCUUUUGGGACGAUAAUGACGGUACCAAAGGAGGAAGCCACGGCUAACUACGUGCCAGCAGCCGCGGUAAUACGUAGGUGGCGAGCGUUGUCCGGAUUUACUGGGCGUAAAGGGUGCGUAGGCGGAUGUUUAAGUGAGAUGUGAAAUACCCGGGCUUAACUUGGGUGCUGCAUUUCAAACUGGAUAUCUAGAGUGCAGGAGAGGAGAAUGGAAUUCCUAGUGUAGCGGUGAAAUGCGUAGAGAUUAGGAAGAACACCAGUGGCGAAGGCGAUUCUCUGGACUGUAACUGACGCUGAGGCACGAAAGCGUGGGUAGCAAACAGGAUUAGAUACCCUGGUAGUCCACGCCGUAAAACGAUGAGUACUAGGUGUAGGAGGUAUCGACCCCUUCUGUGCCGCAGUAAACACAUUAAAGUACUCCGCCUGGGAAGUACGAUCGCAAGAUUAAAAC
rnacentral:rRNA from 1 species